rnacentral:rRNA from 1 species
AACUUUCAGCAACGGAUCUCUUGGCUCUCCCAUCGAUGAAGAACGCAGCGAAAUGCGAUAAGUAAUGUGAAUUGCAGAAUUCAGUGAAUCAUCGAAUCUUUGAACGCACCUUGCGCUCUUUGGUAUUCCGAAGGGCAUGCCUGUUUGAGUGUCA